AACAUGUCUGUUCCAUAUAAUUUAUUUAUUGAUUAAGGGCAUUAUGAUAAUUUCAAUUCACAGUCAAGUCAUCUCCAUUGUGCUCCACGUGGUUAUGUAACGUGGCAUACAUUACUUCUUUCACUGACCUCUAUAAAGAUUGAAAAGGAAGACAAAUGAUUUUGAAUUCAACUAUUUGUCUUCAACAACUAUUGCAAUCUUAAGGUUGGAGAUAUGAGUAAAGAAGAGUUCUGGAAGAUCCAGGUACUUGUUAUUUCCUUAAUUGGGUCAUUCCAUUAAUGUGCGUGUAUAAAAUUGUUUUUUGGGGGGUUGCUUGAGUUUCUAUUUUAUGAAGUAAUUAGUAUAUGUUUGAAUGAAAGAUCAAAAUUUGUUAUGAGUUUAUUCACUUUUGUAUGUAUAUUGUUUCUCCUGUACAGUUUGAAUGUUGAAUGGGUUUGACUGGUUUUGGUUGUGCA